UCGUAUGUAGGAAUUCAGUAAAUGCGUUAAUAAAUAAAUUUACGUUCCCAUUUCGAAUUGUGAAAUUUUGUGAUACGUCAGUGUAAGAUACAAAUAAAAUUCUUGAUAAAACGAUUUUCAGAAAAAGAAUGACCUGUUUUAAUGUGAAACGCUUGGAAGACACACACGACAUUAAUGACGUUAACGCGCGUAGGAUUUCCCUGAAGGCGCGUAUCGCGUAUAUAAGCGUGACGUAAUGCAGACAUUAAUAAUUAUUGUGGCAUAAUGAUUGUGACGCGCGUGACCGCCACCAACGGCAGUGGUAUUUAUGCCCACGCCGAUGGAAAGUAACGCGUGCCUAAGGGAAUUCAUAAAAUCGAGCAAAGCGACACAGCAGCCGAUCUCUGGAUGCCUACACUUUUGGAUUCCUUUGAAUUUCUACCAUUGUGAGCGAUGCUUAGCAUUCUACAGAUGUCACAUGGUUCGAUGAUCCCCGAGACUCGGAAUCAUCAAUAGCUCAAAUGUUAUCGUAUAAAAGAAAACCAUACAACGCCCUCUAGUUACUAUAAUGAAGUAUAUUUAAAGAAAUUGUACAAAGAAAUAUUUGUAGUAAAUUAGUCUUCUUCAUAAACUAACCCAAAUUAAAUUCUAAUUCAUCGUUUUAAUCGAGCUCCUGCCGAUGUAUAUAUAUUGAAAAUCUUAGUGAUGUAAGUAUAAGAAUAUCUAUUAUUCCUGGUUUACAACUGCUUAAAAGGUACUACCCUUUUAGUUGAUAAACAAUCAAGAUGUUAUCUCAUUGUGUGCGCAACAUGUUUUUCUCAUACACAAAGGAUACAUAUUAAGCUUUUUGUAGUAAUGAAAUAUGAAAAAUAUCAGGCGAUUGACUUAUACACAAUGAUUGUACAAUAUUCAUAGUUUCAAAGUAACGAUCACCACGUCUUAGUCACAUUCUUGUCAAUAAUUAUCACGCAUUAUAAAAAAAGGGUGACAAAUUGAUAACGAAGUUCAGAUAGUGUAUUAUAUGAUUGGUUAAUUGACAGAAAUUAUGCGCGACAAUGACUGUGUGUGGACCAGCGGCUCGCGGAAGGUCAGUGACAGAAAAACGAGAUCACAGUUUCUGGGGGCGAAGCCCAGUCAUCGCCCUCCCGAAAUUUCGAUUGGCGUCGCGCCCGCAGCGCCACCUGGGCGCUAGUCCGCUACUCGUCUCGGCUCGAAACUCAUUCCAGAAGUGAACGAACGGAUGCGCGUACGCACGGUUCCUCUAUUAUACAUUUCCAUCGUAAAGGUGCGUUUAGGUACCGGCUAUUAACCCCCUUUUACAGGCCAAUGCGAUUACAAGCGGUUCGAAUAAAAGGAAAAGUCCCACAUACGUUUUCGCUAAUUCGUUAAAACACCGUUACCACAAUAUAAAUAAUCUCCUUUUUUCCGCGUAGUAUAACAUAUAGCGGCUACAAAAAGCAUUGACACGCCAUAGUAUAUUUAUUAUAUCAUUCGCAUACUAAUCAAUUAGAUUCAAAUAUAUUCCACUUAUAUCAUUUAAUAAUAUAUACUUUCAUAUGACUACGAAAAAAUAUUAUGGAAACAAAAUGUAGAAUCUGAUAUGUAGCAAUACUUCUUCUAGUCACUAUACGAUAGAGAGAACGAUAAUUACUUCAAGUUCAUAAAAAUCCACGUUACAAGCGGAGAGAAAUCGAGAAGUAAACGUUAAUUAUACCUAAAGUUCACGGAAAGAUUAAGUUGCCAUUACACCCUUUAAUAAGCUUUGUCACGCACCAAGCUGCGAAAGCCACAACCUGCGGCGAUAUCUGACCGAUGUACACUUGAAAACGAAACAUUCUUGCUAUGAAUACUUUGUACAGUCUGCUAUUAAAAAAGGAAUUGAUGGUAUAAUACUUACUGAGAGAACAGUGAAAGAUAUUUAAUUAAUGGUAAUUAUGUUGAUUCUUCCAAUAUUAUAUCAAGUUUUGUACUUCCCAUAUUUUUCACUUAAUGUAAGACAACAUUUAGAUCAAACUUUCCAUACGAAAUAAGUAAAGGUUAAGUCCUUAACUACCUGAAUCCUCUAGAUUUCUUUUUAUAGCGUUACUUAAAGACUGUAAUCGAUUCAUUGCUGAUAAAUUUACUAUAAAAAUGUAAACAAAACUUGACAUAACAACUAGCAUUUACAUUGAUUAGGCACUUUUCCUUUUACUUCUCUCAGUGAGUACUGUCAAUUCACAAAGUCUGGCUCCAUUUUUUUAUAACACUUUGUAUAUUCGAUACUACUACUACUAUUCAAUAUGAAAUUCGUACUUUCUUCUUAAA